UACGAACGCUGGCGGCGUGCUUAACACAUGCAAGUCGAACGGAAAGGCCCUGCUUUUGUGGGGUGCUCGAGUGGCGAACGGGUGAGCAACACGUGAGUAACCUGCCCUUGACUUUGGGAUAACUUCAGGAAACUGGGGCUAAUACCGGAUAGGAGCUCCUGCUGCAUGGUGGGGGUUGGAAAGUUUCGGCGGUUGGGGAUGGACUCGCGGCUUAUCAGCUUGUUGGUGGGGUAGUGGCUUACCAAGGCUUUGACGGGUAGCCGGCCUGAGAGGGUGACCGGCCACAUUGGGACUGAGAUACGGCCCAGACUCCUACGGGAGGCAGCAGUGGGGAAUAUUGCACAAUGGGCGGAAGCCUGAUGCAGCAACGCCGCGUGCGGGAUGACGGCCUUCGGGUUGUAAACCGCUUUCGCCUGUGACGAAGCGUGAGUGACGGUAAUGGGUAAAGAAGCACCGGCUAACUACGUGCCAGCAGCCGCGGUGAUACGUAGGGUGCGAGCGUUGUCCGGAUUUAUUGGGCGUAAAGGGCUCGUAGGUGGUUGAUCGCGUCGGAAGUGUAAUCUUGGGGCUUAACCCUGAGCGUGCUUUCGAUACGGGUUGACUUGAGGAAGGUAGGGGAGAAUGGAAUUCCUGGUGGAGCGGUGGAAUGCGCAGAUAUCAGGAGGAACACCAGUGGCGAAGGCGGUUCUCUGGGCCUUUCCUGACGCUGAGGAGCGAAAGCGUGGGGAGCGAACAGGCUUAGAUACCCUGGUAGUCCACGCUGUAAACGGUGGGUACAAGGUGUGGGGUCCAUUCCACGGGUUCCGUGCCGUAGCUAACGCUUUAAGUACCCCGCCUGGGGAGUACGGCCGCAAGGCUAAAACUCAAAGGAAUUGACGGGGCCCCGCACAAGCGGCGGAGCAUGCGGAUUAAUUCGAUGCAACGCGUAGAACCUUACCUGGGUUUGACAUGGAUCGGGAGUGCUCAGAGAUGGGUGUGCCUCUUUUGGGGUCGGUUCACAGGUGGUGCAUGCCUGUCGUCAGCUCGUGUCGUGAGAUGUUGGGUUAAGUCCCGCAACGAGCGCAACCCUUGUUCACUGUUGCCAGCACGUUAUGGUGGGGACUCAGUGGAGACCGCCGGGGUCAACUCGGAGGAAGGUGGGGAUGACGUCAAGUCAUCAUGCCCCUUAUGUCCAGGGCUUCACGCAUGCUACAAUGGCUGGUACAGAGAGUGGCGAGCCUGUGAGGGUGAGCGAAUCUCGGAAAGCCGGUCUCAGUUCGGAUUGGGGUCUGCAACUCGACCUCAUGAAGUCGGAGUCGCUAGUAAUCGCAGAUCAGCAACGCUGCGGUGAAUACGUUCCCGGGGCU
rnacentral:rRNA from 1 species